GCUCCUGUCGUGAUGAUAAUGGACUGACCCUCUGAAACUGACUGGGAUUGAAUCUACAACACCUUGCUACAUAAUAGACCUAGAGGCUGUGUUGUGGAGAGUCUCAAGAGAUCAUGUCAAUUUUCUGCUAUACCUUGGUUAGUGCUAGUGUGUUAAAAACAAUUUAGUCUUAAUUUUUCUUUAUUCUUGAGAAUUUCAUACAUGUAUACAAUAAAAACUAAUCAU